rnacentral:ribozyme from 1 species
CUUGAAAAACAAACAGAAAGAGAGAGAGAAAGAGAGAAAGAAGAAGAAAGAAAUGAACAAGAGAGUGAAAACCUAUCAUCUCCCUCUCUCUCUCCUUCUUCUUCUUCUCU